GGCUCAGGAUGAACGCUGGCGGCGUGCCUAAUACAUGCAAGUCGAGCGAACAGAUAAGGAGCUUGCUCCUUUGAAGUUAGCGGCGGACGGGUGAGUAACACGUGGGUAACCUACCUAUAAGACUGGGAUAACUUCGGGAAACCGGAGCUAAUACCGGAUAACAUUUAGAACCGCAUGGUUCUAAAGUGAAAGAUGGUUUUGCUAUCACUUAUAGAUGGACCCGCGCCGUAUUAGCUAGUUGGUAAGGUAACGGCCUACCAAGGCGACGAUACGUAGCCGACCUGAGAGGGUGAUCGGCCACACUGGAACUGAGACACGGUCCAGACUCCUACGGGAGGCAGCAGUAGGGAAUCUUCCGCAAUGGGCGAAAGCCUGACGGAGCAACGCCGCGUGAGUGAUGAAGGGUUUCGGCUCGUAAAACUCUGUUAUUAGGGAAGAACAAAUGUGUAAGUAACUGUGCACAUCUUGACGGUACCUAAUCAGAAAGCCACGGCUAACUACG
rnacentral:rRNA from 1 species